GACACAACUGCCUGGAAUCCUGAAUAACAAUUUCUCACGUGAUCCUUUACCUCCCUCCCUAAACACUCUUGCUGAUUUCUCUUUUGUAUCAGAGUUCCAAUUGGUUCAUUCAACUAUGCAGAGGGUAUUAUGUUGACCAACUAGCAUUAAUGCUUUUUAAUUUAUUCAUUGCAAAACUACACUAGGAGAUAUUUACUGCAACUUGAAUCUAAUAUAAUUUUGCAAUAAAGACACCAUCUGGCAAGUUCAGAUGUGAAAACCACAAUGAGGUAAGCCCAUAUGGUGUCCUUCAUUGACACUUUUUAGAUGUUUUCUAAAUUUCCAUCUGUUCCCAGUCAGGUAGUCAUUAUUUGUGAUUAUGUCUCACUUCUCUUUGCAGUUUUCUGAGACAAUUUUAGGCUCCUAAAGAAUUGAGCUUGUAAAAGCAAAGAAUAUUGCAACCUAGAUUGUCACUAAAGCUUUUGGAGGGAUGUGUAAGAUUAUUUAUUUUGUGCCACUCUUGGCAUCAUUCCUCUACGAUUGAUUUGAUUAACACUAACAGGAUACAACGCCGUACUGACUGGUUGCAUCACGACCUGGUUCAGCAACUCGAAUGUUCAGGAAGGAAGGAGAUUACGGAGAGUGGUAGACACUGCUCAGUCCAUCGUGGCUACUGACCUACCCCCCCAUCGAAGGCAGCCAGUAUCAACAGAGGCCACACAACCCUGGCCACGCUCUCAUUUCAAUCCUACCAUCGGAAAGAAGGUACAGAAGUCUGAAAACGCGACUACCAGGUUCAAAAACAGCUUCUUCCCCACAACCAUCAGGCUCUUCAAUACAACAUAGAAACAUAGAAAAUAGGUACAGGAAUAGGCCAUUCGGCCCUUCGAGCCUGCACCGCUAUUCAAUAUGAUCAUGGCUGAUCAUCCAAACCAGUAUCCUGUACCUGCCUUCUCUCCAUACCCCCUGAUCCUUUAUCCACAAAGGCCACAUCUAACUCCCUCUUAAAUAUAGCCAAUGAACUGGCCUCAACUACCUUCUGUGGCAGAGAGUUCCAGAGAUUCACCAGAGAUCUGUGUGAAAAAUAUUUUUCUCAUCUCGGUCUUAAAGGAUUUCCCCUUUACCCUUAAACUAUGACCCCUUGUCCUGGACUUCCCCAACAUCGGGAACAAUCUUCCUGCAUCUAGCCCCUUAAGAAUUUUGUAAGUUUCUAUAAGAUCCCCCCUCAAUCUUCUAAAUUCUAGCGAGUACAAGCCGAGUCUAUCCAACGCAACACCAACCUCAAUUAUGACCCGAGGGCUUUUUUUGCUCAGGUAUUGCAGUUAUUAAUUUUUGUUUGCUAUGCAUUAUCAAAGUGUAUUGUAUUUAUAGGCCUGCAAGAUCAGCUUGGCUAGUUUUCUCAUGAUUCCCAGGUCCCCACUCCGAGCUGUCUGUCCACAGUCAUAAUUAACUAGUCACAAUGUAUAAAACAACUAAAUGCACACAAUCGUAUUUUAAAUAUGCAAUAUCUAUGUAACUAAACAGAUUGUUUUAAGUACACUUGACUGCAAAAUGUGUUAUUUAUUUUUCAGUUUUCUGUUGCAGUUGCUAUGGGAACCUUGUUGGUAACAACCAAUCAAGCAAACAUUUCAGGUUACAGUGAGCAGUCAGCACUAUUGUAACAGUAAGCUACCUUUCAGUCUAAAAUGAAUUCUCUGGAUGGCAGCCUUUACAUCCCACGAAGAACAUUAGAAGCAGACUUUCCACGGACUUCUGACAGGCUCCCACAAACUGAUUAUGUAACAGCAAAUGCUGCACCUGUCAUCAGAAAUUCAGUUUACUGGAAGGUCUCAGAGACGGUUCCUGGACAGAUGUGUUAUAUGGAACUGACAAACUGCAACAGCAGAUUGACGUACAACAGAUGGCUCCAGUCUUAUCGCGAGAGAGAAAAGGCAAGCCUUACACCAGCCUACACUGUGCAGCUGAGAGAAACCAACUGUUCUUGUGCUACUCUACCUACACAGUCCCUAUGGUAUCAAAUGAGAUGGCGAGACAUACCUGUUCCCCGGUAACAAGUUUGUUUCGAUCAUCACAAGUUUGGUGGCAAAUAAAAAUGAUCCACUCCACAGGCGACAAUACAAGGCACCAACAUUCCACUAUCUCCUCAUAUUUAAUAUUCAGCUAAUAACUCCAUAUUCAGCUAAUAAUUCCACAUUCUGCUAAUAAUUACAUUAUUGAUUGGACUGAUUGAAAGAUACCAGGUGGAAACAGGCCUUACGGGCCAACGAAUCCAUGCCAACCAUCGAUAGGCCCAUCAGGCCUGGAUAGAGUGAGCGUGGAGAGGAUGUUUCCAUUGAUGGGAAAUCUAGGACCAGAGGCCAUAGCCUCAGAAUAAAAGGACAAAACUUUAGAAAAGAGAUGAGGAGGAAUUUCUUUAGUCAGAGGGUGGUGAAUCUGUGGCAUUCAUUGCCACAGACGGCUGUGGAGGCCAAGUCAAUGGAUAUUUUUAAGGCGAAGAUUGACAGAUGUUUGAUUAGUUAGGGUGUCAGGGGUUAUCGGGAGAAGGCAGGAGAAUGGGGUUGAGAGGGAAAGAUAGAUCAACCACGAUUGAAUGGCGGAGUAGACUUGAUGUCCCGAAUGGCCUAAUUCUGCUCCAAGACUUAACAACUUAUGAUCACCCAUUCACACUAGUUCUAUGUGAUUCCACUUUCCCAUCCCUACACCUCAGGGGCAAUUUACAGAGGCACAAGUCUUUGGGAGGAAACCAGAGCUUCCAAAAGAUCAUAAGAUCAAUGAGCAGAAUAAGGCCAUUUAGCCCAUUGAGUCUACUCCGCCAUUCAAUCAUAGCGGAUCUGUCUUUCCCUUUCAAUCACAUUCUCCUGCCUUCUCCCCGUAACCUUUGUCACAUUUACUAAUCAAGAAUCGAUCAAUCUCUGCUUUAAAAGUACCGAAUGGUAAUUGACUUUCACUGUACCUUAAUUGGUACAUGUGACAAUAAACAAACUUUGAAACCUUGACAAUGAAUUCUACCAAUUCACCACCCUCUGGCUAAAGAUAUUCCUCCUCAUCUCCAUUCUAAAGAUACUUCCUUUUAUUCUAAAGGGGCUGUCCCACUUGGGCGACCUAAUCCACGAGUUCUGGCGAAUUUGCCCUCGACUCAUACCCGCAGCAUAGUCGACACGAGGUCAUAGGAGGUCUUUGUAACUCUCCUUCAUGCUCGAGAGUAGUCUCCGUGUACUCGAGGCCUCAGCUAGGUCGCGGCGUAUUUUUCAACAUGUUGAAAAAUGCCCACGAGUAAAAAAAAGGUCGCCAUGGAAAAAAUCAAUGGUUUUUUUUUAGUCGUAGUAUGUCAGCAUGUUAGGCGUAGGUAAUCGAGGGUAGUCAAAGGUAGUCGUAGAUAGUCUUCAUCAUAAUCGAAGGGAGGUCAAAAGAGGUCGUUUUCACUCUCCACUAUUCGGUGUCCAAUUUUCCCCGAAGUUAGUCGUAGCUAGCGAAGCUAGUCUUCAACAUGGUCGAAGGAUGUCUUCAACAUUACAUUUUUUCAAACUCUCCUAAACUCUUCUAAACUCGCCAAUUAGGUAGCCCAAGUGGGAUAGCCCCUUAAGUCUGUGUCCUCUGAUCUUAUACUAUCUCAUUGCUGGAAAUAUCCACAUCGCGAAGGAAACCCAGGGAGAACGUGCAGACUUCACAAAGAAAGCACCCAAGGUCAGAUUAAAGCCAGUCUUUUGAUGCUCUGCUACAUGAUUUAACCAGUUAGUUCCAGAGUUUGUUAAGUUUCGGAGCCUGCAUCAGACUGUCAUCAAGGUAUUCAGCAGGUAUCUUUGUUACUGUAGAAACAAAGAACUGCAGACGCUAGUUUGCACAAAUGGACACAAUGUGGUAGAGUAAUUCAGCAAGUCAGGCAGCAUCUCUGGAGGGCAUGGAUAGCUACCGACCCAAAUCGUCACCUAUCCAUGUUCUCCAGAGAUGCUGCCUGACUUGCUGAGUUACUCCAGUACUUUGUGUCCCUUCGUUACUGUCUCUGAUUCUCCUCAUUCCGGUGUUGAAUUACCUUUUGUGAAUGUACGGUGUCUGAGUUACUGUUUAGUUUCACUGUAGUCAAUGUAAAUAUAUGACAUUAUGCAUAUGGAUAUGCACUGUUGUUACAUAGUUUAAUAAAGCAGU